rnacentral:other from 1 species
GAAAUCCUGGGAUGUGCGAGGCCCCUUCCAUUUUUGAACCUACAUUGACAAGAAGGGAAUCCAACAUCGCAAAUGUGAUGUCAGACCUCUCGUUGUGGUAGGCAGAUCAUUUUGUUGAGGACACCCACCUAGCGGCGGCUAGGCGUCAAAAAGAAGGGAACGGCAUUCCGGGAGUUAA